rnacentral:rRNA from 1 species
AUACGUAGGGAGCAAGCGUUGUCCGGAAUCAUUGGGCGUAAAGGGCGCGUAGGCGGCCUGUUAAGUCAAGUGUGAAAUUUACUGGCUCAACCAGUAGACUGCGCUUGAAACUGGCGGGCUAGAGAUCAGGAGAGGAAAGUGGAAUUCCUAGUGCAGCGGUGAAAUGCGUAGAUAUUAGGAAGAACAUCGAUGGCGAAGGCAGCUUUCUGGCCUGACACUGACGCUGAGGCGCGAAAGCGGGGGGAGCAAACAGGAUUAGAUACCCUGGUAGUCCACGCCGUAAACGAUGGAUACUAGGUGUAGGGGGUUCGAUUCCCUCUGUGCCGCAGUUAACGCAAUAAGUAUCCCGCCUGGGGAGUACGGUCGCAAGAUUGAA